AAUAUAGUGCCUGAAUUUAAAGGGUAGCUUUGAUAGAGCUAAUAAUGUGUCCUACACCUAUAUUA
rnacentral:tRNA from 2 species